CCUCUUCUCAGAACACUCCUUGGAUCUGGUCAGUAGCCUGGGGAGCUGUCAGGGAAGAGCAGAACAUGUGGCCCUUAAUUUGGAUGAGAUGGCAGUAGGAUGUACUGUUGAUCUCUGUCCGUGGUGGGACAGAC
rnacentral:snoRNA from 1 species